AAGACAUCCAGGAGUCUAUAAAAUAGUCACUGAUGAGACUGGACGAAACCUCUGCUAUAUGUAGAGGUCUGAUU
ncrna:unclassified sequences RAGATH-1-hammerhead ribozyme sequence